AAUUUUGCACAAUGGGCGAAAGCCUGAUCCAGCCAUGCCGCGUGGGGGAAGAAGGUCNNNGGGUUNUCAAGCCCUGUCGGCCGNGAANAAACGGCUCAGGUUAAUACCCUACGGGGAUGACUGUACCGGCAUAGGAAGCACCGGCUAACUACGUGCCAGCAGCCGCGGUAAUACGUAGGGGGCAAGCGUUAAUCGGAAUUACUGGGCGUAAAGGGUGCGUAGGCGGUUUUGUAAGAGGGGGGUGAAAUCCCCGGGCUUAACCGGGGAACUGCCAGUGAGACUGGAAGGCUGGAGACCGGGAGAGGGGGAUGGAAUUCCGAGUGUAGCAGUGAAAUGCGUAGAUAUGCGGAGGAACACCGGUGGCGAAGGCAACCCCCUGGACCUGAACUGACGCUCAUGCACGAAAGCGUGGGGAGCAAACAGG
rnacentral:rRNA from 1 species